AGAGUUUGAUCAUGGCUCAGAAUCAACGCUGGCGGCGCGCUUAACACAUGCAAGUCGAGCGAGAAAGUGGAGCAAUCCAUGAGUAAAGCGGCGUACGGGUGAGUAACACGUGGGGCAUCUACCUCUUAGUGGGGAAUAACUCUGGGAAACCGGAGCUAAUACCGCAUAAGCCUGGAAAGGGAAAGCAGCAAUGCGCUGAGAGAGGACCCCGCGGCCGAUUAGCUAGUUGGUGAGGUAAAGGCUCACCAAGGCAAAGAUCGGUAGCCGGCCUGAGAGGGCACACGGCCACACUGGCACUGAAACACGGGCCAGACUCCUACGGGAGGCAGCAGUGGGGAAUCUUGCACAAUGGGGGCAACCCUGAUGCAGCGACGCCGCGUGAGCGAUGAAGCCCUUCGGGGCGUAAAGCUCUUUCGGCCGGAACGAUAAUGACGGUACCGGAAGAAGAAGCUGCGGCUAACUACGUGCCAGCAGCCGCGGUAAUACGUAGGCAGCAAGCGUUGUUCGGAGUUACUGGGCGUAAAGAGUGCGUAGGCGGUUUCCUAAGUUUGGUGUGAAAUCUCCCGGCUUAACUGGGAGGGUGCGCCGAAGACUGGGGAGCUAGAGGAUGGGAAAGGCAAGCGGAAUUCCUGGUGUAGCGGUGAAAUGCGUAGAUAUCAGGAGGAACACCGGCGGUGUAGACGGCUUGCUAGACCACCCCUGACGCUGAGGCACGAAAGCGUGGGUAGCAAACAGGAUUAGAUACCCUAGUAGUCC
rnacentral:rRNA from 1 species